rnacentral:rRNA from 1 species
UGGGGAAUAUUGCACAAUGGGCGCAAGCCUGAUGCAGCCAUGCCGCGUGUAUGAAGAAGGCCUUCGGGUUGUAAAGUACUUUCAGCGGGGAGGAAGGGAGUAAGGUUAAUAACCUUAUUCAUUGACGUUACCCGCAGAGAAGCACCGGCUACUCCGUGCCAGCAGCCGCGGUAAUACGGGGGUGCAAGCGUUAAUCGGAAUUACUGGGCGUAAAGCGCACGCAGGCGGUCUGUCAAGUCGGAUGUGAAAUCCCCCGGGCUCAACCUGGGGAACUGCAUUCGAAACUGGCAGGCUGGAGUCUUGUAGAGGGGGUAGGAAUUCCAGGUGUAGCGGUGAAAUUGCGUAGAGAUCUGGAGGAAUACCGGUGGCGAAGGCGCCCCCUGGACAAAGACUGACGCUCAGGUGCGAAAGCGUGGGAGCAAACA